GAUGAACGCUGGCGGCGUGCCUAAUACAUGCAAGUCGAGCGAACGGACGAGAAGCCUGCCUUCCUUAUGUUAGCGGCGGACGGGUGUGUAACACGUGGAUAACCUAUCCUUAAGACUGGGAUUACCUCGGGAAACCGUAGCUAAUACCGGAUAAUCUUCUGAACCGCAUGGUUCAAAAGUGAAAGACGGCUUUGCUGCCACUUAUCGAUGGAUCCGGGCUGGAUUAGCUAGUUGGUAAGGUAACGGCUUACCAAGGCAACGAUGCAUAGCAGACCUUAGAGGGUGAUCAGCCACACUGGAACUGAGACACGGUCCAGACUCCUACGGGAGGCAGCAGUAGGGAAUCUUCCGCAAUGGGCGAAAGCCUGACGGAGCAACGCCGCGUGAAUGAUGAAGGUCUUCGGAUCGUAAAACUCUGUUAUUAGGGAAGAACAUAUGUGUAAGUAACUGUGCACAUCUUGACGGUACCUGAUCAGAAAGCCACGGCUAACUACGUG
rnacentral:rRNA from 1 species